UGGGGAAUUUUGGACAAUGGCGAAAGCCUGAUCCAGCAAUGCCGCGUGUGUGAAGAAGGCCUUCGGGUUGUAAAGCACUUUUGUCCGGAAAGAAAUCCUUGGCUCUAAUACAGUCGGGGGAUGACGGUACCGGAAGAAUAAGCACCGGCUAACUACGUGCCAGCAGCCGCGGUAAUACGUAGGGUGCAAGCGUUAAUCGGAAUUACUGGGCGUAAAGCGUGCGCAGGCGGUUUGCUAAGACCGAUGUGAAAAUCCCCGGGCUCAAACCUGGGAACUGCAUUUGGUGAACUGGCAGGCUAGAGUAUGGCAGAGGGGGGUAGAAUUCCACGUGUAGCAGUGAAAUGCGUAGAGAUGUGGAGGAAUACCGAUGGCGAAGGCAGCCCCCUGGGCCAAAUACUGACGCUCAUGCACGAAAAGCGUGGGGAGCAAAACAGGAUUAGAUACCCUGGUAGUCCACGCCCUAAAACGAUGUCAACUAGUUGUUGGGGAUUCAUUUCCUUAGUAACGUAGCUAACGCGUGAAGUUGACCGCCUGGGGAGUACGGUCGCAAAGAUUAAAAACUC
rnacentral:rRNA from 1 species